AUGACGAUUAGGCGCGGACGGAGCACCGAUCACCAUCGCAAUCGUGCGUACACCUUAAAAUUCCCCGCCGCCGAAUCCGUCGGCCAACACGGCACAUCCAAACAAAUGAUCAAAUCAAACUGUGGACCGUCACACACUGCACAGCCGAGCAGCCAAAAUGACAAAAAGGAUCACAAUUUUAAAAUUACUCGCAAGUCGGAACUGGUAACUGUGUAUCUACAUUCUGCGCGAGAACCAAAGCGGGGUUCCGAGUCGAGCGCGCCAGAAUCCAAAUCCAACGGGACCUCCGUCCCGCCAGAGGAGAUCACGGAAACGACUCAAAGAAGAGGAAAUCACGAGAGGAUUCAGAGGGCAGGAGGUAACAACUAG
rnacentral:rRNA from 1 species